ensembl:lncRNA
UUCGGCCUCUUUGUUUGAUCCACUUUGCACGAGCCACUACCUGAACUUGCAGUGACAGUUAGCCAAACAGAGAUCAAAGUGAAGCCCCGCGAGGGAACGCAGCUAAUACUGGAGCUUCCCCUUGUCAGAGCGCCGGCGUGGAUGUUUGGUUUAUCACGUCUGGGAUAGCGGUCUGGUGUGUUGCGACAGCGGAGGGAUGGAAGCCACGGAAUCCACCGGCAUCCAUUCCAAGCAGAACAUAAUGGAUGGAGCGUGGGACCUGAUCCGGCUGUGGAUGAGCCAGCCCGUAGGUGUCUGAGUGGGCGUUCAAAUGGAUUCGGGGACACUGGCUGAGAAUAACACACUUUAUCCUCACCGAUGGCUUAGUCCUCAAAGAUGUUCCGUGUUCACUAGCCGUGCCGCGCCCCUCCCCACCUCGACGCACCCCACCCUUCCCUCCUUUCAAAGAAAAAAGAAGGUCUUCAUAACAAAUCGGCGGUGUGCCAAAAUCUUGCCGUCUGGCUGGUUGAGGGAGGUUUGGAUGCUUCUCCUUCAGUGCGCCCUAAUCCCAGUGUUGCACAAGCACACUGUUCUACUUCUCGCUUUGAGCUCGGCUUUUAACAACGGGAUAAAAGAACAGAUGAGGAGGAUCGUAGAUGUCACACUAGUGCGCUGAUGAUGAAAAUCAUAAGUUGUGCAAACAAGAAUGCUCUCAGUGGUGAUUCUGGCAGCUAAUAGAUGUUGUGCUCCAAGCGGUUAUGCGCUGCUGCGGAGGAGAAAGGUAAAUGACUCCAAAAACCACAGGGAAGUUGCAAUCUCCACAGAUACCUGGAAACCAAUACGAACCAACAUCUGGUAAUGAAUUAUGGAUGUAGAUGGAACACAUGUCCCGGGUCUGUCGCUUGCCCGGCGAUGUUGUUUAAAGUCUCAUGAAGAUAUACUUCCCAUGAUGGCUUUUGGAAUUUGCAAUGUGGGAUCUUGUGUUCUGUAAUAUACAGUUAUGGAUUAUUCCGAGGCAAUGUAUGCACAAACUACAAUGACAGGUUUUGAAGGAUAUUUUUCCAGCUACAUCUUGACAUUUAGAAAACAUUUUCUUCUCUGGGUUUAUUUCCGAUGUGACAGGAGACCAGGUAAUUAUAAUGUAUCCAUCUCCUGUAAUAACCUUUGUUGCCAGAUAAAUGUGGAGACUGGCUCGUGUUACAGACGAGUGUAGAGAGAGAUAGAGAGACACACCGAGACCGAGCAACAUGGAAAGAGAAAGAUGAAAAGAUAAUUGUCUUUAUGUGCCAAUAUGGGAAGAUUUUUCACUCGUGUGAAGCGCAAAUGAGAUGGCAAUUCUGUUACAGCUGUUGCAGAAACGCACCACAACAUAAGCACAAAAGGCAUCUCCGUCCCAGGGCUUUACAAGCUCCAUGGUCAACCAGGGAGAAAGACCCCACUAUGUUGUGUGUCUCCUAAUAUACCGACGGCAGACAGUAUGAAGCCCAUUAAAGACACUUACACAUUAAAGACCAUGUAAACAUAAUCAGAUGUAUGAAAAAAGGUAAUUCCGCUGUUAAAUGUGAGGAAAAAUGUUGUCCGCACUUGUUUGCGUAGGAAUUAAGUUAAUUUCAUUGCUACUUUAUUUUUAAGAAAGAAUAUAUGUUAGAAAAUAUAUAAAUUUAUUUUAGACGUGCAGGUUUUUUUUUUACAAGAAAAACUAAUAUUUUAUAGUUUGUAUAUUUUAAUGCAAUUAAUUCAAAACACAGAAGGUAG